rnacentral:lncRNA from 1 species
UGGAGAGAGAUAGAGAGAGGGAGAGAGAGAGAGAGUUCUAUUUGGGUGCUUCUAAUAGCAUCAAGCUGUACUGGGGUGCUUAUAAUAACAUUAAGCACUUGAUGCUAUUAAGUUUUUUAACCGUUAGAUUAUUGAUUUGAUCAUUUUUAAUUCAUUAGAUCACAUAUUAUUCAAACCAAUCAUCCGUUUAAUUCUAGAGGAUCACUAUCAUCCUAACCGCAAAUUGCUUCAUCCAAGAUCGAAAAUUUAAUAAUAUUAAUGAAUUGAUAUUAUUAGAAAUAUUUCAAUAUAUAUAUAUAUAUAUAGAGUCCGGCUACUAUACUAUUGAUAGUACCAAGCUCUUGGUACUAUUGAGUUUUCUACCAUUAGAUCUACCCUUUGAUCAUUUACACCCGUUAGAUUAUACUAUUAAACCAACCAUCCACUCAACUCUAGGGGAUCACUAUCAAUUUAACCAGGAACCACUAUUAUCCUAACCGCACAUCCUUUCAUCCAACGGCCAAAAUCUCAAUAGUACCAAUGGCUUGGUACUAUUGAUAGUAUAGUAGCAUAAUUCAUAUAUAGUUGAGCUAAAAUACUAUCGGUAGUAAACGAGCCGUUUUACUAACGAUUUAUUUUCGAUGAUAGAGCUUCCAAAUUAACAAUUGGCUCCAUUAUAUAUGAUCUAAACCAUUUAAACUACCUAGAAAUUAAAUUUCACGCACUUUCGAUAUUGUUUUUUUACCCAUCAAGUGAACAGAAAAAUGAAUGGCUGAAAAUGAAUACUCUUUAAAAAAUGAUAAUAGGAGUCUUGUAAUCAAGAUCAAGAGUAUAGAUCUUGUUUUAAAUAGUUUAAAAAAUUUUCUAACAAAAAUUUAAUUGAUUUGAAUAUCUUUACGCCGUUAAACGAGAAAACGCCUCUUAUCGACCAUUAAAAUUAUAAAUUUUGAAACCCUUUGAUCAUUAGGCAAAUGAUGUCGAAAAGAUUUGAAAUUUGAUUUCUAAACACUUCAAGUGGUAUAGAUUAUGUUCAACGGAGCCGAUCGUCAAUUUGAAAGUUCUAUCAUCGAAAACAAAUCGAUAGUAAAAUUGCUCGUUUACUACCGAUAGUAUUCUAGCUCAACUCUCUCUAUAUAUAUAUAUAUAUAUAUAUAUAUAU